rnacentral:lncRNA from 1 species
CCCAGGCUGUGGUUGUUUUCCCUCUUCCCCCCCCCCUUUUUUUUCCUCUCUUCUGCCCCCCCCCCCCCCCCCAAAUACCUGCUUUGCUCUUCACUAAUUCAUUAUUUUAACUUUGGGAAAAGUUUGCAGUGAAUUUAAAGCUAAUGAAGUGCAUAGGAAAACCUGAGGAGUCAGGUUGAUAGAGUAGCAUGGACUUGUUAAUCUCAGCCUGAUCUUGUCAGUAACAGCAGAGCAGAGGGAGAGAGAGAGGAACUCCGGCUGGGGCAGCGCUCCAAAGGACAGAGUGGAGUGCUUGUGAUUCCAGUCCUAUCAAGACCAGUGAAGGUGAAGAGUCCGGGUUCGUAGUGGGUUUGUUCCUGUGUUGGGUGAAUUGAAGACAAAGCUGGACACCUUGUGCUCAUGGCUCUCCUAGAGAAACACAGAGUGAAGCGGCAGCGCCUUGACCGCUUAUUUGAAGGAGCAUAUUGCAGAGCCUCUAGGAGCUUCCAGGGUUCAUGCCAAGGAGUACAAGGAGUACAUAAC